GCCUACGGGGGGCAGCAGUGGGGAAUUUUGGACAAUGGGCGAAAGCCUGAUCCAGCCAUACCGCGUGCGGGAAGAAGGCCUUCGGGUUGUAAACCGCUUUUGUCAGGGAAGAAAUACUUCGGGCUAAUACCCUGGGGUGAUGACGGUACCUGAAGAAUAAGCACCGGCUAACUACGUGCCAGCAGCCGCGGUAAUACGUAGGGUGCAAGCGUUAAUCGGAAUUACUGGGCGUAAAGCGUGCGCAGGCGGUUCUAUAAGACAGAUGUGAAAUCCCCGGGCUCAACCUGGGAACUGCAUUUGUGACUGUAGAGCUAGAGUACGGUAGAGGGGGAUGGAAUUCCGCGUGUAGCAGUGAAAUGCGUAGAUAUGCGGAGGAACACCGAUGGCGAAGGCAAUCCCCUGGACCUGUACUGACGCUCAUGCACGAAAGCGUGGGGAGCAAACAGGAUUAGAUACCCCGGU
rnacentral:rRNA from 1 species